rnacentral:lncRNA from 1 species
CAGCAACUCAUUUUCUCUGGGACCCCUCUCUGCACGGAGAGCUCUUCUCUUUCUUUCGCCUAUUAAACUUACAUGGCCGUGGGACAAUGAACCUCAGGUAUUACCCCAGAGAAACAACAUCGCUUCAUUGAGGGGAAUGCAAAAAUGUAGUAAAGGAAAUUGAGAAUGAGAAGCCAAUAAAGUAGGUAAGAAACAAGGUAGAGUGACAUCAUGGAAGCCAAACAAAGCAAGUGUUUCCAGGAUGAAGGCGUGAUCAACUGGGUCAAAUGUAUGGUGACAGAUCAAAUAAGAUGAGGACUAAUCAUUAAUCAUGGAUUUUAGCAACACUGAGUCCCUGUGGACCUUUACAGGAGAAGUUCUGGUGGAGGGCUGAGAGCAAAAGCCUGGUUGAAGUGAGUUUGAAAAGAUGUGAAAUGGUAAGAAUUAAAUACAAUGAAUAUUUUCCUGGACUUUUGAUAUACAUCUCAUUUCCAACAAGCUGAUACAAAGACCACAGGAAAGGAAGAAAGGAGAACUACAAACCACUGCUCAAGGAAAUAGGAGAGGACACAAACAAAUGGAAAAAAAAAACAUUCCAUGCUCUUG